rnacentral:rRNA from 1 species
UACGAAGGGGGGCUAGCGUUGCUCGGAAUCACUGGGCGUAAAGCGCACGUAGGCGGAUUCUUAAGUCAGGGGUGAAAUCCUGGAGCUCAACUCCAGAACUGCCUUUGAUACUGAGGGUCUUGAGUUCGGGAGAGGUGAGUGGAACUGCGAGUGUAGAGGUGAAAUUCGUAGAUAUUCGCAAGAACACCAGUGGCGAAGGCGGCUCACUGGCCCGAUACUGACGCUGAGGUGCGAAAGCGUGGGGAGCAAACAGG